rnacentral:rRNA from 1 species
UCGUGUCGUGAGAUGUUGGGUUAAGUCCCGCAACGAGCGCAACCCUCACCUCUUGUUGCCACCAGGUCAUGCUGGGCACUCUAGAGGAACUGCCCCGGUCAACGGGGAGGAAGGCGGGGAUGACGUCAAGUCAUCAUGCCCCCUACGUCCUGGGCUACACACGUGCUACAAUGGCCGGUACAAAGGGAUGCCACACCGCGAGGUAGAGCUAAACCCAAAAAGCCGGUCUAAGUUCAGAUUGGAGUCUGCAACUCGACUCCAUGAAGGAGGAAUCGCUAGUAAUCGC